CGCGGGGUGGAGCAGCUUGGUAGCUCGUCGGGCUCAUGCCCCGAAGGUCGUCGGUUCAAAUCCGGCCCCCGCAACCA
rnacentral:tRNA from 1 species